rnacentral:piRNA from 1 species
UGCGUGCCAUAUGCCAUGAAAUGACGCAA